GGUGCGGGUCGGGCGAUCGCUCCGCCCCUGUGGGCGGAGAGGAAAGUCCGAACUCCGCAGAGCGGGAUGCCUGGAGUGAAUCCAGGGCUCCUGUUGCCAAAGCAGCAGGAGACGGAAAGUGUCACAGAAACCAUACCGCCCCGCACCUAUCUCAAACCGGCAAAGUCAGAUUGUAAAAAUGGAGCAAUAGUAGGACUGUUUAAUUGCGGAAGCAAAAAAUCCUCUGCUGGUUUGAGAUGGGUGCGGGGUAAGGGUGAAAAGGCGGGGUAAGAGCCCACCGGUCGGCUCCCGAGUGGGAGGCUCCCAGCGGGGAGUGCGGUAACGCCCGAGCUGGACAAACCCCAUCCGGAGCAAGGCCAAAUAGGGGAGGACCUUCCCUUCGGGGAAGGCGAGGUGGCUCGCCUCGUUGAGGGCACCGCCCUCAGCACUCCCGGGUAGGCCGCGCAGAGAAAUGAUCGCCCUCCCGCCCAACGCGGGAGACAGAAUUCGGCUUACAGACCCGCACCGAAU
rnacentral:RNase_P_RNA from 1 species